AUUGAACGCUGGCGGCAGGCUUAACACAUGCAAGUCGAGCGGGGUGAUGGUGCUUGCACUAUCACUUAGCGGCGGACGGGUGAGUAAUGCUUAGGAAUCUGCCUAUUAGUGGGGACCACAUCCCGGAAGGGGAUGUAAAUCCGGCUUCCGUCUACGGGAGGAAGCAAGGGAUCAAUUUUUACCUUGCGGUAAAUAAUGAGCCUAAAUCGGAUUAGGCAGGUUGGGGGGUAAAGGCCGAACAAGGCGACGAUCUGUUGCGGGUCUGAGAGGAUGAUCCGCCAGACUGGGACUGCGACACGGCCCAGACUCCUACGGGAGGCAGCAGUGGGGAAUAUUGGACAAUGGGGGGAACCCUGAUCCAGCCAUGCCGCGUGUGUGAAGAAGGCCUUAUGGUUGUAAAGCACUUUAAGCGAGGAGGAGGCUCUUUUGGUUAAUACCCAAGAUGAGUGGACGUUACUCGCAGAAUAAGCACCGGCUAACUCUGUGCCAGCCGCCGCAGUAA
rnacentral:rRNA from 1 species